rnacentral:rRNA from 1 species
CCUACGGGUGGCAGCAGUGGGGAAUAUUGCACAAUGGGCGAAAGCCUGAUGCAGCAACGCCGCGUGAGCGAUGAAGGCCUUCGGGGCGUAAAGCUCUGUCCUCAAGGAAGAUAAUGACGGUACGUGAGGAGGAAGCCCCGGCUAACUACGUGGCAGCAGCCGCGGUAAUACGUAGGGGGCUAGCGUUAUCCGGAAUUACUGGGCGUAAAGGGUGCGUAGGUGGUUUCUUAAGUCAGAGGUGAAAGGCUACGGCUAAACCGGAGUAAGCCUUUGAAACUGGGGAACUGGAGUGCAGGAGAGGAGAGUGGAAUUCCUAGUGUAGCGGUGAAAUGCGUAGAUAUUAGGAGGAACACCAGUUGCGAAGGCGGCUCUCUGGACUGUAACUGACACUGAGGCACGAAAGCGUGGGGAGCAAACAGGAUUAGAUACCCUUGUAGUC